rnacentral:rRNA from 1 species
ACUCCUACGGGAGGCAGCAGUGAGGAAUAUUGGUCAAUGGGCGAGAGCCUGAACCAGCCAUGCCGCGUGCAGGAAGACGGUCCUAUGGAUUGUAAACUGCUUUAUUUGGGAAUAAACUCCGGUACGUGUACCGGCCUGAAGGUACCAAAUGAAUAAGCACCGGCUAACUCCGUGCCAGCAGCCGCGGUAAU